AUUGAACGCUGGCGGCAGGCCUAACACAUGCAAGUCGAACGAGUGGCGGACGGGUGAGUAAUGUCUGGGAAACUGCCUGAUGGAGGGGGAUAACUACUGGAAACGGUAGCUAAUACCGCAUACCAUCAGAAGUGCCCAGAUGGGUUUAGCUAGUUGGUGGGGUAACGGCUCACCAAGGCGACGAUCCCUAGCUGGUCUGAGAGGCUGACCAGCCACACGGGAUCUGAGACACGGUCCAGCCUCGUACGGGAGGCAGCAGUGGGGAAGUGUGUACAAUGGGCGCAAGCCUGAUGCAGCCCGGCCGCGUGUAGGAAGAAGGUCUUCGGGUUGUAAAGUACUUUCAGCGGGGAGGCGUUACCCGCAGAAGAAGCACCGGCUAACUCCGUGCCAGCAGCCGCGGUAAUAC
rnacentral:rRNA from 1 species